rnacentral:rRNA from 1 species
UACGUAGGGCGCAAGCGUUGUCCGGAAUUACUGGGCGUAAAGAGCUCGUAGGUGGUUUGUCGCGUUGUUCGUGAAAACUCACAGCUCAACUGUGGGCGUGCGGGCGAUACGGGCAGACUUGAGUACUGCAGGGGAGACUGGAAUUCCUGGUGUAGCGGUGGAAUGCGCAGAUAUCAGGAGGAACACCGGUGGCGAAGGCGGGUCUCUGGGCAGUAACUGACGCUGAGGAGCGAAAGCGUGGGGAGCGAACAGG